UGUGGCUCCAGCAUUCCAUGUUGGCUCUGUGGUUCUGUUUCAUUGAGAUUGGAGGUUAGCUGUUCUAUGGACACAGUCUGGGACUUCCCCUGGACACAGAGGCUGGAGGAGGCGAGAGCGGAGUGAUGAGGAGAACUAGGGAGCUGGAGGAGACGAGAGAGGAGGUGAAGAGGAGAACCAGGGAGCUGGAGGAGACGAGAGAGGAGGUGAGGAGGAGAACCAGGGAGCUGGAGGAGAUGAGAGAGGAGGUGAAGAGGAGAACCAGGGAGCUGGAGGAGACGAGAGAGGAGGUGAGGAGGAGAACCAGGGAGUUGCAGGAGGUGAAAGAAGAGGUGAGGAAGAGAACCAGGGAGCUGGAGGAGACGAGAGAGGAGGUGAAGAGGAGAACCAGGGAGCUGGAGGAGACGAGAGAGGAGGUGAGGAGGAGAACCAGGGAGCUGGAGGAGACGAGAGAGGAGGUGAGGAGGAGAACCAGGGAGCUGGAGGAGACGAGAGAGGAGGUGAGGAGGAGAACCAGGGAGCUGGAGGAGACGAGAGAGGAGAUGAGGAGGAGAACCAGGGAAAUGGAGGAGACGAGAGAGGAGGUGAGGAGGAGAACCAGGGAGCUGGAGGAGAUGAGAGAGGAGGUGAGGAGGAGAACCAGAGAGCUGGAGGAGACGAGAGAGGAGGUGAGGAGGAGAUCUAGGGAGCUGGAGGAGACGAGAGAGGAGGUGAGGAGGAGAACCAGGGAGCUGAAGGAAUAGAGGGCCUGCUGGAACUACAUAGGAGUCACAGAUAGACAGGUAAUGUUUGUGUACUGUGCAAAUAACACAACCACGGACUGUUUGACUGAAACCAGCCCUGCAGUGUCACGAGGAGGAAUAUGCCACGUCACACAUGAGCCCCUCCCACCGCUGCAGAGGAGCUGGUUUACGAUUCGCUGACUGUGAGAUGAUUGACGUGGCACAUUCUGGUUCUAUGACCCACCGCUCCCUCGCAACCGUGGAAACACUUCUAUGCAGCCCAUGCAGCAUUAAUUGCCCUCCUUCGAUGGUCAGUGUGAGAGAGGUUAUAUUGAAUUGAUUCCUGCUGAAUGUGAACCUCAACCUGAGAUGCAGCUCUACAUGUUUUCUCUCUAUCGAUUAUUCAGAUUCAUAACAAAUGUUUACCUUGAGGUUCAGCAAUCUACCCAAAAUAAUAACAAAUAAAACAUGUUUUGUUUGUUGUUGGUGAAAUAUUUCAAGGUUGCCGUUGCCUCUUUAAUUUCCUAUGGAUGCAAUUUAAACAGUUUGGAUUAUACAAACCAUAAAUGAAUCAUGGAUUUAUCAAGUGUUGAUGUUUUCAGUUUUCAUUCUCCCAUCAUUUUCUCUCCAGUUCUCCCAACACCAUCACUGCGUAUGUCACUAAAAGCAUUAUAGAUAAUCUCCAAUGCCCCCAGCAUACACCCAUUUCAAUCUUAUAUUAACCAGCACACACUCACAUGCAAACAAACACAUACACAGACUCACACACAAACAUACUAAUGCACACAGAUGACCUGGAGUUUAGCAUUCCAUAUUGUAUCCUGACUGAGUGGCAAAUAUCGUCUAAAACUGUGUUUUUAAACCCACAAUGAAUAAAGG
rnacentral:lncRNA from 1 species